ensembl:lncRNA
UGCAAAAUGAGCAAUUAUUUAAUCCUAAAUAACUUUGCUUAAGAAAUGUUAGGGGCCAUUCACACAGAAUGUGCUUUUACCUUUACCUUUUUUUUUUUUUUUGUAAGUUUAGCUUAUUUUAACUUGAGCGUCACAUGUUUUAUGUCCGUCUAGUCCGCGUUUCCACAGAAAAAAAGUGUGUUCUGUGUGAACGGCUUCUUACACUCACACUAAACAACAGCAAACCCGUGUGCCAACUGCGGUGACAUCAGAUCUGUGAGCACAAUCAAUCAUUUCCUUUACUAAGAUGCCAAACACAAACCGAUUUGGAGAGGAAAUGACCUUUUACUUUUGAAAACACAAAUUAACAUCCAUCCCAUUCUUACACCAGUCACCACUGACCACAAUACAGGGACGUCUGAUCACAAAGUCAACAAUGAAAGGCAUUGAGUGUGGAAAUAAUGGCACAUCUGUGUGUGGGGAGAGAUGUGCCAUCCAGCUGCUGGCAGGUAAACAGAGACGAGCCUGUCCCACCACAGCAUGUGAUGCCAGGAAACAUAUAAAAAGACCCGCCGGCAAAUGUGUGAUUCAAUGCGCACACUGACAUUUAGCACUUUGUUUCAAUUUGUUCGGCAUCCACCUCUUUUAUCCAAGAUGAGAAUUAGUGUACCCAUAAUCCUCUUUGUUGCAGCGACAGGUUUCCACAGUGUGAUUUCAGCAUCUCUGCAAUGUGAUGAAAGGACUAAAUUGCCAGAAGAGAGAGCGUUUGAAGAGAACAGCACGACUCCACAAACAGAUGAGUCGGAGUAUGAGGCUGCUCAUGUGAAAGAUGGAGAGACAAAGGCAGUGACAGACACUACAGAGCAAAGCUUGCUUGAGAAGGAAGAUAGUCAUGAUGGUGAGAGAGAGGCGCUGACAGAUGCUACAGGCGCGAACACCGGAAGUGACGCGCCCAUAGAUUCAGACUCUGGGGACGACACCUCUCAACAGAACACAGAACACAGUGAGCAUGUGGAAGAGAAUGUGAAAAGUUCUGGUGAGUUGUUAAUCCAGCAAAUAAAAUCAAGAAUUGUAUAUAAAAAAAAUAAUAAUAAUUUAUGUUAA